UCACAGGCUUCUUUUGAAGCUAACUUUACAUCAUUAAGCGAGUUCU
rfam:Atta cephalotes unplaced genomic scaffold scaffold00026, whole genome shotgun sequence.